CGCGCCGCCCCUCCGGCGCCCUCCAGGCUUGGCCUGCUCGCCGGACGCCGGUCGCCUGUGGCUGCGCGGAGUCGCGCCUGCAAGCCUAAGAACAUUCUCGAAUCUUCUCUAUCCAGAAAUCACAUCUCUUGACCCAGAUUUCCUCUCAAGCUAAAAGUCCUGCAUAGGAAAUCUCUAGCAGGAUGACAAGAUCGUGGAUGCACCGUAUAAGGAUGUCACAACCACCACCUUUGUAUCCAAGAUCUAGACCGUACCUCUGGUGAUUUCCCUGGGAUAAAUAGCUGAAAGCGACCCACCAGGUAGAUUCCUAAAGGUGAAUUACUGUAUCAAGGACGUUUCUCAUCUACGGUGUCAAACUGUACCUCUAGAAGGACUUCCCAUUGCUUCGCUGGUAAAUAAUUGAUUUUUCUCCUGGUGAACUUACGAGUUCACCCUGAGACCCUGUUAAGGACGUCAGCUGGUAUUUACAACACAGCCUGACGCUGGUGGGGCAGCUCUCCUGGGCGGCUCUUUCCAACAUCCACGCAAGGAUCUUGGCUUCCACCACUUACCUUGAACACACGGCCCCCACGUGGAAAAGGACGGAUGUUGGACGACCAUUCACGGGGGUGUUACAGAGAGGCCUAGAAGGAGCAUAUUGCACUUCCACAGCAUCCAGCUGGCUGUGUCACAUGGCCCAGUCACCGACCCUGACCUAACUGCCGUGCAGGCCCAGGAAGAUAAAAUGGGACAGAAGAGCAUCCGGCCGGUCUCCGCAGCACCACCCUUGGAGGACCGUCCCCAGUGCUUCCAACUCCAGGAAGCACUUCCUGUCCCCUGAUGGCACAUGUCUCCCUAUUAACACUUGUUCCGUGCCUUCCUGGUGACUGUGAUGUGCUCAGCUGUUACAACCGUUGGUGACUCUGUCUGCCCUGUCCUCACCAGAGGGAAGCCUCUUGCAGGCAGAGACCGUGUCUAGGUCACCUUAGUGUCUCCACAGCAUCAGCCCCGCCAGCAGGUCAUAGGGGGCCCACAUAUUUAUGUUGAAUAGGAGAAGGCAAAUUUCCAUCACUGGUCUGAACAGCAGAGUAAAAGUUGGGAUGUUCUUUUCCCAUUCCUUCUCCCAGGCCACCCUGAGAGCCAUUCUAAUUCUAAAAAUAAUCACAAUGGCUUUCAAAGGGGAGAUUUCCAUGUGCCUAUAAAACCCCAUCAUUGACAUUUAUACCUAUGUUCCAUUUCUUUCCACAAUUCAUUAUAUUUUUCCACCCUUUACUUCCAGCUAAUGGAAAGUAGAUUUAAAAAAAAUCAGCCAAUGCAUUACAGGAAAAUUCUUGAUCCUAGAAAAAAAACAGAGAGGGGCACUUGAAAGGAAGUGGGUGGUGCUGCUCUCCUGCAUGCCGCGAGGCUGGAGGACCUUUGUUUCCGAUGCGCUGUGUGUGACUGCCCCCUUGCUGGUGCUCGCCACAGCAACCAAGUCCUGGUCUAGCAGAGACUGAGAGAGGGAGAGAGAGGCUUUGAAGAAAUAACCUUCACAUGAUGCAUCUCCUGAAACGUCUGCACAGGAAACAUACAAAGGGAGAAGGAGGAGAAAGAAACAUGGAACAGAUCUAGUUUUUUCUCAGUCGACACAUCACGGGGAACAUUUUCUGUCGUGUUUCCUUGUUCAGCAUGGGAGGUGGGGUUUCCGGCCCCCCCCCUCCUGUCACCUGCCUUGAUUUUUCUGAGAAGGCUCCUUCUACUCCCUUCCAUCCCUUCCCAUUAAGCUCCCUUCUUCCACUCUCCCUCCUGGAGUUAUGGAGACCUUGACUUUUAGAGCUGGGAAAACACUAAUCAAUAGCUUAUAGAGCGUUUCCAUUUCAUGGAGGCGCAUCCUGAUAAUUCCUCUCCUCCCUUGCAGUUCAGAGCUUCCACCGAAGAUUUUCAACUGAAACCACAGGACUGCAGAAUCCGAUUUGGGAAAAGGCUCUCAGCCAGAGACCUGGGAGGGGAUUUCUGAGCUUGAAGGUUCCUUUCUAAUCUUGAGUCAACAUCUGCAUGACCAAGGGCAUCCCCGGAGCAGUGGGGUGUCUCCCCAGACACGGGGAGAUGACACUUGGGAUCACCAGUGAGCAUUUCCACAACGCCUUUUCCUGUUCAUCUCCUCCCCAACGAAUGACAAGCGACGGACUCUGGACCAGGCACGAGAGUGAGCAAGAUUAACGUGGCUGCCGGGAGAGCAGCGGCCGGGUGCAGGGUCUGGACCGCAGCCCAACAGCGGGGAUCGGUGCUCACUGCUUUCUGGGGACAGACCAGAGUCCCAGCGCUGCGGAAGGUGCUCAGCUGACGUCUGGCUCUUCAGAGGGGGAGGUCAGUUGCUGUCGCAGAUGAGAGGGACGAGGUCAAGGGCCCUCGGAAAGCACAGAAGGCCCAGAAAUAACACCAAGAGUCUGUGCUGCCGGGACUGGAGGAUGCUGGAAAGGAGAGAAUGGAAACCUGCUCCGGCUGACCCUUUCACUGGCCGUGAUGAACUUCUUUUAAAAAGAUCGAAGAGCAGAGAUGUUUUUAAAGGAAAAGAAACUCAGGGGCUGAGCUGGGAAGGACACUUAUUUCAAAAAGCUUCUCUCCAGGUCAGAGAGCAGAAAGUCUUUUUGAAAUAAGUGUCCUCCCCAGCUCGGCCCCGAGACGUGUGCGGGCGGAGCGACCGGGUCUGUGCCGUGGCGCCGUGCACCCCAGCUGCUCAGGCCCAGAGCUGCCGCCGGCGGGAGCGAGAAAACAAAGCGAGGUCUCUUCCUCUGCCCACUGACCGCCCUUGGGACCCUGGUCUACAAAAAUAAAAAUCGUCAUCAUCAUCGUUUCCA